AUUGAUUGAAGGAGAAAAGAAACUAUGGUGAUUGCAAAUAUCAAGCUUGAUGCUUCGUGUUUCACUUCAUGAAGGAAACCCAUUAUAGGCUUUGACUCUCUAAAAUUCGAAAGAGGGCCAUGCCCAAAUAAAAAUGAACUUUCCAAGAGAAUUACAAUCGACAAAAGGAAAUAAUAUCGUGAAAAAAUUAGAACCUUUAAAACUAGUACUAGUAUACAUGAAUAUGUUUAUUCUCAAUUUUUUUUCCCUCCAAAAAAUAUUUUGCUAUACUCCAAGCUAGCAAAAUUGAGAGAAUUGGAGUUUUAUUUUCUUGAGUGUUUCCACUGCAUUUUCUACUCUACUCAACUGCUGGAGCUUAGGCUGAUUCUAAACUUUUGACGAAUUUUUU
rnacentral:lncRNA from 1 species